UACGUAGGGAGCAAGCGUUGUCCGGAAUCAUUGGGCGUAAAGCGCGCGUAGGUGGCCAUGUAAGUCCGCUGUGAAAGUCAAAGGCUCAACCUUUGAAAGCCGGUGGAUACUGCAUGGCUAGAGUACGGAAGAGGCGAGUGGAAUUCCUGGUGUAGCGGUGGAAUGCGCAGAUAUCAGGAGGAACACCAAUAGCGAAGGCAGCUCGCUGGGACGUUACUGACGCUGAGGAGCGAAAGCGUGGGGAGCAAACAGG
rnacentral:rRNA from 1 species